rnacentral:rRNA from 1 species
GGGAGGUAGUGACAAUAAAUAACAAUACGGGGUUCUUCUGGAUCUCGUAAUUGGAAUGAGUACAAUUUAAAUCUCUUAACGAGGAACAAUUGGAGGGCAAGUCUGGUGCCAGCAGCCGCGGUAAUUCCAGCUCCAAUAGCGUAUAUUAAAGUUGUUGCAGUUAAAAAGCUCGUAGUUGAAUUUCGAGACCGGUUUAUUGGUCGUGCUUUUGUACGUACUGGUAUAAUCGGUUUCUCUCUUCUGACGAACUAUAAUGCCAUUAAUUUGGUGUUAUGGGAAAUCAGGACUGUUACUUUGAAAAAA